rnacentral:rRNA from 1 species
AUUGAACGCUGGCGGCAGGCCUAACACAUGCAAGUCGAGCGGAUGAAGGGAGCUUGCUCCUGGAUUCAGCGGCGGACGGGUGAGUAAUGCCUAGGAAUCUGCCUGGUAGUGGGGGAUAACGUCAGGAAACGGGCGCUAAUACCGCAUACGUCCUGAGGGAGAAAGUGGGGGAUCUUCGGACCUCACGCUAUCAGAUGAGCCUAGGUCGGAUUAGCUAGUUGGUGGGGUAAAGGCCUACCAAGGCGACGAUCCGUAACUGGUCUGAGAGGAUGAUCAGUCACACUGGAACUGAGACACGGUCCAGACUCCUACGGGAGGCAGCAGUGGGGAAUAUUGGACAAUGGGCGAAAGCCUGAUCCAGCCAUGCCGCGUGUGUGAAGAAGGUCUUCGGAUUGUAAAGCACUUUUAGUUGGGAGGAAGGGCAGUAAGUUAAUACCUUGCUGUUUUGACGUUACCAACAGAAUAAGCACCGGCUAACUUCGUG